CACGAGAAGCACUCCAAUUGGUGGGGUGCAAGCCGUGAGGGGUCAUCGUCUGUAGUGGACGAAGACCGGGUGCACGACAACAAGCAAAGCCAGACACACUAUUGGGUCCUGAGGCAACACCCUCGGGUGCUGUCCCCCCAUCUUGGUGGUGGGGUGUGGUGUUUGAGAACUGGAUAGUGGUUGCGAGCAUCAAAAUGUAUGCGUUGUCGUUCGCGGCAACGUGUUCUUUUUGUGCAAUUUUUAUUCUUUGGUUUUUGUAGUGUUUGUAAGUG
rnacentral:misc_RNA from 1 species